CAGACCCUGAUGAAGUCAAUCUCCCUGACAUGCCUCAUUAUUCACUGAGCUCCAGGCUUUGGCUGCACUUUCUCCGGGGAUCUGCGCUGCCCGAGCAGUGUUUGUGCAGCUGGUUCUGUAUAUAUUUCCACUGAAUGACUUCUUUAGAGCCUCGAAGCCAAAAGGACUUCUGAAUCUCCAGAAUGAAUUUCCAUAAUUUCCGGACAUUCGGUGAUAGAGAUGCAAAUGACAUCUGAGAGUUUUAUCCCACAGAUUUGAUUUUUUUAAUUGGGGUAAAAAGAGGUGCCCUGCAAACAAAUCUCUCCAAAUACCGA